rnacentral:rRNA from 1 species
CCAGACUCCUACGGGAGGCAGCAGUAGGGAAUUUUCGGCAAUGGGGGGAACCCUGACCGAGCAACGCCGCGUGAACGAAGAAGUUAUUCGUAAUGUAAAGUUCUUUUAUCAGGGAAGAAAGAGGAAUUUGACGGUACCUGAGGAAUAAGCCCCGGCUAACUACGUGCCAGCAGCCGCGGUAAUACGUAGGGGGCAAGCGUUAUCCGGAUUUACUGGGUGUAAAGGGAGCGUAGACGGCUGUGCAAGUCUGAAGUGAAAGCCCGUGGCUCAACCGCGGAACUGCUUUGGAAACUGUAUAGCUUGAGUACUGGAGAGGCAGGCGGAAUUCCUAGUGUAGCGGUGAAAUGCGUAGAUAUUAGGAGGAACACCAGUGGCGAAGGCGGCCUGCUGGACAGAAACUGACGUUGAGGCUCGAAAGCGUGGGGAGCAAACAGGAUUAGAUACCCCGGUA